GACGAACGCUGGCGGCGUGCUUAAAACAUGCAAGUCGAACGGACUUCUCAUGAAGCUUGCGAUUGAGAAGUUAGUGGCGGACGGGUGAGUAACGCGUGGGCAACCUGCCCCUGAGCCCGGGAUAACAGUUCGAAAGGACUGCUAAGACCGGAUAUACUUGCGGUGAAGCAUUUCACUGCAAGGAAAGGGAACGCUCAGGGAUGGGCCCGCGUCCCAUUAGCUAGUUGGUGAGGUAACGGCCCACCAAGGCGACGAUGGGUAGCCGGCCUGAGAGGGUGAACGGCCACACUGGGACUGAGACACGGCCCAGACUCCUACGGGAGGCGGCAGUUGGGAAUCUUCGGCAAUGGGCGCAAGCCUGACCCGAGCAACGCCGCGUGAGUGAUGAAGGUUUUCGGAUUGUAAAGCUCUGUCUUCCGGGACGAUAAUGACGGUACCGGAGGAGGAAGCCACGGCUAACUACGUGCCAGCAGCCGCGGUAAACCGAGAGUA
rnacentral:rRNA from 1 species